CGAGUCGGCCAAGCAGUCGCUGUUAUUUAUUAAUAAUGGAGGAAAGUCCGGGCUCCAAAGGGUAGAGUGCCAGGUAACACCUGGGGGGCGCGAGCCUACGGAAAGUGCCGCAGAAAAUAAACCGCCGGUUAUUCCGGUAAGGGUGAAAAGGCGAGGUAAGAGCUCACCGCACCAAUGGUAACAUUUGGUGGCAGGGUAAACCCCACUCGGAGCAAGACCAAAUAGGGAAGUCGAUAGCUUUGCCUAUCACGCGUGACCCACGUGACUUCCGGGUAGGUUGCUUGAGGUAUGUGGCGACACAUAACCCAGAUGAAUGACUGCUCACGACAAAACCCGGCUUAUCGGCCGACUCGUUCU
rnacentral:RNase_P_RNA from 1 species